AAAAAGUUAGUUAAAAAAUAAUAUUAGGUUGUCAGCCUAAUGUCACUAAUUCAACUUAGUACUUUUUA
rnacentral:tRNA from 1 species